rnacentral:rRNA from 1 species
UACGGAGGGUGCGAGCGUUGUCCGGAAUCACUGGGCGUAAAGGGCGCGUAGGUGGCCCGUUAAGUGGCUGGUGAAAUCCCGCGGCUCAACUGCGGGGCUGCCGGUCAUACUGGCGAGCUAGAGCACGGUAGGGGCAGAUGGAAUUCCCGGUGUAGCGGUGGAAUGCGUAGAGAUCGGGAAGAAUACCAGUGGCGAAGGCGUUCUGCUGGGCCGGAACUGACGCUGAGGAGCGAAAGCGUGGGUAGCAAACAGG